rnacentral:rRNA from 1 species
AGCGAACGCUGGCGGCAGGCUUAACACAUGCAAGUCGAACGGGCGUAGCAAUACGUCAGUGGCAGACGGGUGAGUAACGCGUGGGAACGUACCUUUUGGUUCGGAACAACCCAGGGAAACUUGGGCUAAUACCGGGAUAAGCCCUUACGGGGAAAGAUUUAUCGCCGAAAGAUCGGCCCGCGUCUGGAUUAGCUAGUUGGUGAGGUAACGGCUCACCAAGGCGACGAUCAGUAGCUGGUCUGAGAGGANGAUCAGCCACAUUGGGACUGAGACACGGCCCAAACUCCUACGGGAGGCAGCAGUGGGGAAUAUUGGACAAUGGGCGCAAGCCUGAUCCAGCCAUGCCGCGUGAGUGAUGAAGG